rnacentral:rRNA from 1 species
AGUGAACGCUGGCGGUAGGCCUAACACAUGCAAGUCGAACGGCCGCACAGUAAGAGCUUGCUCUUACGGGUGGCGAGUGGCGGACGGGUGAGGAAUACAUCGGAAUCUACUUUUUCGUGGGGGAUAACGUAGGGAAACUUACGCUAAUACCUCAUACGACCUACGGGUGAAAGCAGGGGAUCUUCGGACCUUGCGCGAUUGAAUGAGCCGAUGUCGGAUUAGCUAGUUGGCGGGGUAAAGGCCCACCAAGGCGACGAUCCGUAGCUGGUCUGAGAGGAUGAUCAGCCACACUGGAACUGAGACACGGUCCAGACUCCUACGGGAGGCAGCAGUGGGGAAUAUUGGACAAUGGGCGCAAGCCUGAUCCAGCCAUACCGCGUGGGUGAAGAAGGCCUUCGGGUUGUAAAGCCCUUUUGUUGGGAAAGAAAAGCAGCAGGUUAAUACCCCGCUGUUCUGACGGUACCCAAAGAAUAAGCACCGGCUAACUUCGUG